GGCAGAGGUUAACCGAUAAAUGGGUGAUUGUGAGUCUGGUGCAUGUUCAUGAUGACGUCAUGACUAGAUCCACACUCAUCCACAGAAGCGGGAAAAAUCAU
rnacentral:pre_miRNA from 1 species